GUAUGCUUCGAGGAUUGGAUUUAAAGGCUAUUGUCUUCUUGGUUGUUUUUGUGCCAUUAUGUAUAGUUGGUAUAUACUUGCAUGGACAGAAGAUUACCUACUUCCUCCGACCAAUAUGGCAAUCUCCUCCAAAGCCCUUUAUUGAACUUACCCAUUAUUAUCAUGAGAAUGUCUCUAUGGAGAAUCUUUGCAAGCAACAUGGAUGGGGAAUUCGUGAAU
rnacentral:misc_RNA from 1 species